UUGAAUCCUAAUAUAGACAAACUAAUUGAAUUAGCCAUCACUUUUUAGUUUUUGAGAUUGCAUGCAAACUGUUUGUUAAAUGUUCUAGAUGACUAAUGUUAUGCGUUAGUUGCAUUUUCUAGCUAUAUGAGUUGCCAUUAAGACUAUAGUUUGUUUUGUAAAUGCUUUUGAUUGUACUGAUUGAAUAUAUUCUUCCAAGUUUUUGAGUUUUACACA
rnacentral:lncRNA from 1 species